rnacentral:tRNA from 1 species
GGGCCGGAAGCUCAACGGUCGAGCAGUCCGCUCAUAACGGAUUGGAAGUGGGUUCGACUCCCACACGGCCCA